rnacentral:lncRNA from 1 species
GCACUCCGACCCUAUACGCAAAGGUUGACAACGAAACAGAGAUCUAUCCUCCGAAAGGGGACGAACCCGAUGAUCCUAAAAAGUAUCAGGACAAGAGAUUCCAUCUCGAUGCAAUCAUCAGGAUUGAAAGCAUCUAUGUGUCCAACAGUACGACUUCCAUCCAGGUAAAGCUACACGAUGCAAACAUAUUGGAAGAAAAGCCUAAGGUACCGAGGAAGAGACUUUUACGAAAGCGG